rnacentral:misc_RNA from 1 species
ACUGUCAACGGCCAACGGAUCUAACCAGGCAGCUUCCGCACGUGCGUUGCCUACGGGCAGUCAGGGAGGCAACCACGAAACCGUUCCAGACCUCCACGUGUUUCAUGAACCGCAGACUGCCUCGUUCUGACGCCCAUUUUUAUCGUGCGGGGAAGUGUUGGUCUGGCGGGUCUUCACCAGGCAACUUUUGUGUCUGUGCCUCGUUUUGAUGUUUGUUGAGCACAGCGCAGUCGCGGGAUCGUGCGUCGAUGCUGCUGCGUAGCUGCUGCCCAGGUACUCGCCGGUGUUCAGACGACUUUCGGAGCGGGAAGCAGGCCCCAGUUUACCCGUCACGCCUCGAGCCUGCAAACCAGCGGGCACGCGUGAACGAGUCCACGAGCUGGCGCCAUGAAGCGGGGUACCAGGAGUUUUUGGCCCCCUUCCCCGCCGCCCUCCGCAGAGGUUAUGCACGGCACGCGAGAAGCAGUACUUGCGCCAGAUGAAACGGGUACUCCACAAGGUGCGUUUGCGGGCGAAAGCGUUGAUAGCGCUGCUCUGGUACCGUCGUACCGCUGCUGCUUGAUGCAUGGCAGAAGAAUGGAUCGAAGGGUGGCGACGCGUUCAAGUCGAGGCCGGUACAACAAACGACCCGAAGCGUCCCAAUACAGCAGGUCUGUCUGAACGACACUCAGGCAUUCGGUUGGUAUGGGAGUACAUUCAACUCUUGGCGCCCCGGAGCACACCAGAGCAGGCACGCCAGGCAACGCCCCGUGGUACGCUGUCACUCGACAACAUGAGAGGCAUCGUCGGCAUCGUCGCGCUGACCUGCAUCGCUGGUGCGUCCGAGGCCUUUCGACGCGUCCUCUGUCGGAGGAAUCCCAGAUCAGUGGCGGAUGCGGGAUACGGUUGACAGACGAACGCUACCGAUGCAUCGCUCGCACCAAAGAACGGGCGUGCGUUGCCCGCAACACACCUACUUGGCGAGAGGUUGCGCUUCAUGCGGCCCUGCCUCGGAUGCUUGCUUUCGAGUUCCCGAACGGUUACGAUACCUGCUCCAGAACGGGUAUCAUCGUGUGCGUCGAUCACGUAGCGGCACGUAUGCAUAGAGAUGGAUGAAGAGCAUCGUGAGGUUUUGUGCGGAUAUCGAGCACAACGUUCUCGUGCAUAUGGAUCCCAUCGGGUUGGCGUGAUCCGCUGCGACGCGGAGGCAAUGCUCACGGCGCCCAAAAGGACUGGAUUUCAUCUGACAUCCGCGUAUGUAUGCAUUUGUUGCCAUUUCCAGGCGAUAGGAUAGACGGGUGCAUUGCGUUUCGUUCCCUGCUGAUGCGCCAAUGACGCUGGUCACCCAGGCAUGCGCUUCGGAGACGGCGAGGCGUGCCUGGGGCAUCUGUGGUGCAAGUUGGCUGCUGGACAGCUGAGGGCGUGUGGUGUAUUUCCAGCGCGACCCUGGUGGCAUGCAAAACUAGUUAUUUCGUUCAUUCGGCAGUCGGGAUGACUGGCCGAGUACGCUCAUGGGUUACAGUGCCCAGCAAGCGCGCCUAGCGUGGCAGGAUAAUCCCAUCCACGCGAUUGCAUCGCAGGCGUACUCGGGUAGAGUCGACUCAGAUCUGGGUGAAGCGCCUCGCCGGCGAACAUACACUCUAGUCGUCCGCUGUUAUUUUAUAACGAGGCUCCGAAUGCCUACAACCUGCGGUCUACGAAUCAUUUUGGCAACAGUCUUGUCGUAAACGG